UUUUUUAGAAUUAAAAGUUAGAUCCCAGGGACGUUUUUAUUAAAAUGGAGAAAAGAGGUGGCUCAAAGCCCAAUCCAAAAAGAAAAAGAAAAAGAAAAAGUAAAGGACACUAGAAAUUAAAAAAUGAAAAAAAUAAAAAACAAGAAGACAAAGAGACAUUGGGAAAGUGCAUCCACUUAGUACUCGUUCUUCUUCCAUGGCUUCCAUCAGUCACCGGAAAACCUCACAGAUCUUGCAGGUGUGGGUUGCAAUUAUUUGGAGGUCCACAGAUCUCACAGACUUCAUGAUUCAACACCAGUGAAGACUUCUUCAACUUGGAAGCUGCAACGGUUAACUGGAUCUACAGGUAAAAGUGAAUUCGUUCAUCAUUUGUGCAAUAUUGCCCUUCAUCUUAUAGUACAUCAGUUUAUAUUUGAUUUACUUCCUCCAAUUAUUCAUCUCAACAGGUUGAAUUCCUGAGGAAUUGAUACCACUGUUCAAGACUUAUAAUUUUCGGAGUACUUCAUUUAUAGCACUGAGUAAGAUCCUUUUCUUUGACUGUAUUACUAUGUUUCUCCUUUGAUAUCAAUGUUGUGAUGUAUUGAGAUGGCUUGUGAUGACUAUUCUAUGUUGUUGCGGCUAGGGGUGUACAUAGG
rnacentral:lncRNA from 1 species